rnacentral:lncRNA from 1 species
GGUUUGCUUUUCAAGAACCUGAUUUGGGAGAAAAGAACCACUGAAAUUUUUUGAUUCAGCCAGCACUGAUGGAGCCUUCCUGCAAUCUUCUUCGUCUGUUUUGGGCCAGAUGAGGAAAUCCCAGGAAAAUGAAGUGCUCAAGUGACUUUACCUUCCUUUGAUUUCACCUACUGACAGGACCCCAACAGUUCUGCCUUCCAUACACGUGUUCGUUCUCUGUUGGAAUUUGAUAUCUUCGUCGUUAAGUUCAAAACGUCCAAAGGGAGCAAAGUUUGCCCGCCCAAGAACUCUGACCUUCAACAGGAAAGGACAGGUAGACUCCGUCAGUACGGGUGAACCGGCCGACAAUCACGUCAAAAUUCGGAGAAGACUUGGUGAUUCUAGGUGCGUUGACUGGGUGGCGGCUGCUGAAAUGACUUCCCCGGGGAAGAACUAGGAUGGGACUUUUUAAAGAAGAAGGAGCCUGAAAAUUCAACUAGUCAAUCAUGUUUAUGUGCAGAGCAAUAUACUAAACACUCGAGGGAGCAGAUUAUAAACUAUAUAACAGAGUUAGUAGACAGGCUCCCUGCCCUCAGUGAGCUUGCAGUCUAGAGGGGGGAUGUAAGCUAGACUCACUGUGGGACUGUAUUUACUGUUCUACAGUACCCUCUAAGUGCUUAGUACAGUGUUCUGCGUACAGUAAGCGCU